UAAUUCGUUCGAUAAAAAGUUAUCGACCAGGCAUCGAAAAUUGUUGGUUCUUUUUUUACCGACGUAUUUCCAAUGUGAACUUCUUGCGAGAUCGUCGGUAAACCGAAGGAGGAAGGAAGGGAAGAACGAAACACGCGAGGGAUUCGUCGCAGCGCGAUUUGACGCGGCACGGCUCGUUGAACGCGAUUGCCGAAGCGGUGGGAAAUAAAACGCGGAAAAAACGCGAACAACUUGCACGCGCGACGAAGACUGCUCGCAAAAGCAAGCGGUUGAACGAAGAAACCACUCGCGAAGGUGGUGAUAACUAUAUAUCUAAAGGAUAAUGGACACGGAAGGUUUCAAUGAGCGACUUAAUUUAUACAAAUACACCAUCUGCAAAUCGAGUAACUUACGUUCACAAGAAAUUGAUACGAUUUAAAAUAAGGAAAUGAGGAAGAUGAUUACCUUGACUAAUUAAAAUAAAGAGAUUAACGACACAGGGG
rnacentral:misc_RNA from 1 species